GAUGAACGCUGGCGGCGUGCCUAAUACAUGCAAGUCGAGCGAACAGACGAGGAGCUUGCUCCUCUGACGUUAGCGGCGGACGGGUGAGUAACACGUGGAUAACCUACCUAUAAGACUGGGAUAACUUCGGGAAACCGGAGCUAAUACCGGAUAAUAUAUUGAACCGCAUGGUUCAAUAGUGAAAGACGGUUUUGCUGUCACUUAUAGAUGGAUCCGCGCCGCAUUAGCUAGUUGGUAAGGUAACGGCUUACCAAGGCAACGAUGCGUAGCCGACCUGAGAGGGUGAUCGGCCACACUGGAACUGAGAAACGGUCCAGACUCCUACGGGAGGCAGCAGUAGGGAAUCUUCCGCAAUGGGCGAGAGCCUGACGGAGCAACGCCGCGUGAGUGAUGAAGGUCUUCGGAUCGUAAAACUCUGUUAUUAGGGAAGAACAAAUGUGUAAGUAACUAUGCACGUCUUGACGGUACCUAAUCAGAAAGCCACGGCUAACUACGUG
rnacentral:rRNA from 1 species